CCUACGGGAGGCAGCAGUGGGGAAUUUUGCGCAAUGGGCUAACGCCUGACGCAGCAACGCCGCGUGGAGGAUGACGGUCUUUGGAUUGUAAACUCCUGUCAGCAGGGAAAAAGGGACUGGACCUAAUACGUCUGGGACUUGAUUGUACCUGCAGAGGAAGCCCCGGCUAACUCUGUGCCAGCAGCCGCGGUAAUACAGAGGGGGCAAGCGUUAUUCGGAAUUAUUGGGCGUAAAGGGCGCGUAGGCGGCUAUUCAAGUGGCGGGUGAAAUCCCUCGGCUUAACCGAGGAACUGCCUGCCAGACUGGAUGGCUUGAGACCGGGAGAGGCGAGUGGAAUUCCCAGUGUAGCGGUGAAAUGCGUAGAUAUUGGGAGGAACACCAGUGGCGAAGGCGGCUCACUGGACCGGUACUGACGCUGAGGCGCGAAAGCGUGGGGAGCAAACAGGAUUAGAUACCCUGGUAGUCCACGCCGUAAACGAUGAGUGCUUGGUGUAGCGGGUAUCGACCCCUGCUGUGCCGACGUCAACACAUUAAGCACUCCGCCUGGGGAGUACGGUCGCAAGACUGAAACUCAAAGGAAUUGACGG
rnacentral:rRNA from 1 species